CGUAGCUCAGUUGGAUAGAGCGUCUGCCUCCGGAGCAGAAGGUCGUGGGUUCGACUCCCGCCG
rnacentral:tRNA from 1 species